rnacentral:tRNA from 1 species
UCCCUGGUGGCUCAGACGGUAAAGCGUCUGCCUGCAAUGCGGGAGACCCGGGUUCAAUUCCUGGGUGGGGAA